UUAUGUCGCCAGUUACAAUGCGUCAUAGUUUUUGUCCAAUUAGAAAAUUUUUCAUUUGAUUUGCCAAGUGAUAUAAUUUGUUCCAUCAAGUAUUGUGCCAAUGGGUCUAAUAAUACGGUGUCUUUCCAUUGGGUCAAAUAUUUGAAAUCGCACGUUUUAAGAGUAACGGAAGCAGAAGCGCCAACCACAAAUCGCGACUAACGUGGACGAAAUCGAAUUUCUUCGAUUGGGCUUCGUCGGAUCUGGGUUGCGAGCAAUCGUGGUUGGGCGUCGACGCUGCUGAGCAAGAUUUGCAACUGAACGACGCGUAAAUGAUACGUGAUCUAUGAAUCACGAAGAAGAUUCGUGAGUUGCGAACGAUAGAUGCAGAGAUCAACGAUGAUCGUGACACGCGAAGCAGAUUGUGAAAUUCGUUCUUCAGAUCUGAACGAGGAGCGAGCAGAGAUCUAUGGACAGAGACCGACGGCGAACAGAGAAUAAGAUUUCGUCGAACGUUGAACGGCGAACGAAUAUGGUCGAAUCUGAGUAGAGAUCUAUAGACAGAGAUUGACGGCAAACGAAAAUGAGAUGAAGGAUUUGGUCAUCAAUGGAUUUCACGGCAGAGAUCGCCACGACGGUGACAGAGCUUUUUGACAUUACAUUUCUUGAGGGGGAGACAAUCAGGGAAUGACUCUACUUCGACAAGCCUAGACAUUGCAUAUAAUCACUAUAAAUGACAAUAUUUGAGAACCAUGAAAAACAACAUAUUCUCACCAAGUUACUAAAUCAAAACGUACACAUUGAUUUUGAUAACCAAAACCAAAAGCCUGAAGUCCAAACCAAAUGAUAUCCAUAAAAGAAAAGAAUACAAAGUAGAACAAAUAAAAGAAGUUUCCCCUCCUUCCAGAGAUGACUUUGGUUAGCUUUACAAAUUAAAAAUACAAGUAGGAUUUACAAUAAAGAUUACAAAAUAAAAAGAAAAAAACCAAGGAGAAGGAAAGUCUUGAAGUUGCAGAUUCAUGACUUCCAUCCUCACAUAAAAUCAAGGAAAAGACCAUCUUCCACCUGCAUUAAAACAAGAAACUUUUUUUAUGUUGUGAUCUUGCAAACAACUAAAAGCACAAAAUCUGAACUCACAUGCACUUGUUGAAAAUUUGAAGUAAAACUGAUGAUCACGAUACCACAUAAAGCAAUUGAAUCCAUAUACUACCCAAUCUUUCUUACUCCCAAUGAUUGUCUUAAAGGUAGCCAAUUGAGAGUUGAGACACUAAGCACAAUUACUUCCACUGAUAUCUCUAGCACACUGUAUUUAAGAUUUUCUUCUUUUCUAUCUUUUUUCUUUUUUGGCAAAAGACAUAAAUUUUGGACACCCCCAAUCAACAUAAAAGACUUGGUUAUUGAUAAUGCAUUAUAUUUCUAUACUGCACACCCUUAUAAUACAUUAUAUUUCUCCCCCUCAAAAAUAUUGUUUAACAAGAAAAUAAAAGGGGUCUAUUAAUCCACAAAACCGCACUCAAAUGAAGGCGUGAGAAAUCAAACAUAAUAUAAAAAGGCUUAAAGGGUCUCUUUACCUAAACAUAAAAAUUGAUAAUUACACAAGACAACACCCAAUGUCAUUCAACCAUUCAAUGAAAAUGCACAACAACAAAGACAAUACAAUCAAAACAAUCGCUAAACAGAAAGUGCGUGGUUAUAAAAAAAACAUACAGAAUGAGAUGAAAACUGCCACAAAUUUCACCAUGUAUCUAAUCCAACCAAGGGCUCCGCUGCACAUUGCUAGCCAUUCCACCAAAGACCGGUCAUGUUUCUCACAAUAUCAAACUAAAAAAUAACAAAAGACUCAGAAGUUGUUCUUGCUUAGUAGUUUUUUUUCAUAGCAUUAAGGAAAUGUGCUUUUUUAAUUUAAUCAUUGAUAAAAAUAGGAAGGAGGAGUCAUCACAUUACAGACAAUUGGAAUGAAUGUAAAACGUUGAGAGCAAGAAACAAGAUUAAAUGGGUUAUAAACAAUUUCUCAUAGAUAUUACUACCUA